GCCCAACCAGUAGUGAUUGUGCAAGCCCUGAGUUUUAUGAAGCUAUAUAUGAGCCAGAAAAGAUCAUUUCAUAUGAUUGGUCAACUAUCAUCACAGACAAGCUUGUGUCAUCUAUUUCCAAAUUCCAGCAAGCUCGCAAAUAGUGCACUACUGCUUCAUUAGGGGGCUGCACAAUCGCAAUACUGAUAAUAUAUCUUGAGCUUCUUGAUACCUCAGAGAUAAGCCUUCCAAAUUAUAUGCCUCGUCUAAGUAUUUGGUCAACAGAAAUCAUUAUGGCAUAUGUUGAGCUUGACAAAAUGAAUGAUGAUGGCACAAAUUUUGGAAGAAUACCUAUAUGAUUUUCUUACACAGAUGUCUUCAGCGCAUGUUUCAUCUUUGUAUCAACUAUUUUUCAAAGAAAUUUCAGCAUAUGUUUUCCUCAAUUUUUUUUGGCAGCUGAGAGAUAUCAGGAGGUCAUGUUUUUGCACUCACUAUCCCAUCUCAGAUGGCAUUUUCAUCGAUACAAACAGUGACAUGGAACACAAGUUUCAACAAUUCUUCCAGAGGACUAUUACACUAAGGCAAGGAAACAGUUACACCUAAUGUACAAUGAAUCAUGGAAACAUUACAUCAACUCAAUGAAACCAUUGUUGCUCUCACAGAUAAGCCAAGCUGCAAGAAUUAUCCGCGACACAAACAACAGCUCCAUGUGCAAAUUGACAAACAUUUCAAAUGACAAGUGUUCCACCAAGGUUCCUAUUUCUUUAUCAGCAAUUGAAACUAGAGCAAUUAGUGCACUUGCAGUGGCAUUUGAUCAGUCAAAUUCAACAUCUGCAACAGCUUUGCAGAGUAAUGAUCCACAUGACAAUGGAAAAACCAAGUUAGUUACACCCGCUGAACCUCUUGAUGCUGCAGUCAAUUAUGAAAUGGCAUGUCACAAUGAGCAUUUGCCUUCAAAAUACAUGCUCCC